UACAGAGGGGGCAAGCGUUAUUCGGAAUUAUUGGGCGUAAAGGGCGCGUAGGCGGCUUCGCAAGUGGAAGGUGAAAUCCCUCGGCUCAACCGAGGAACUGCCUUUCAAACUGCGUUGCUUGAGUCCGGGAGAGGUGAGUGGAAUUCCCAGUGUAGCGGUGAAAUGCGUAGAUAUUGGGAGGAACACCAGUGGCGAAGGCGGCUCACUGGACCGGAACUGACGCUGAGGCGCGAAAGCGUGGGGAGCAAACGGG
rnacentral:rRNA from 1 species